GUGAUGCCUCUAACGGAGGUUCCUGGAGUAAAAAAAUGCUGCCCAUUGACAAUACGUAUAACAAAGAAAAAAUUGCAAUUUUAUAUUUUCUUAUGCAAGCUUUAUAUUGCAUGUCCACUCUAAUUCAACAUCCAAUACAAAAAAUAGUCUUUCUAGAGAUUUUAACCUUAACAUAUUGGCAUGCGUUGAAAGCAGAUGUAAUGUAAAUGCCACAUAAAACAUAUGGCGGUAGGAAACAAGAUACAUAACCUGAAAAUGAGCGGGAAGAAUCUGAAAAGGUCGGAAAAGAUUUGUGAUAGCACACACACAACAUUUCUGUGAUUAAUUAUUAGGAUCCGACUCUGAAAUAGUUUUUUAAAGAAAGACAAGACUGAAAUUUAUUGCUGAACUCAAUUGCAACUCAAAUACAAUGUCUAAAUUUAAAAAAUACACGGAAAAGGAUAUAUCCAUGUUACUUGAAACAAAUUCAGAUUCUGAGGUAAAUGAAUUAGAUGAAUCUUAUGAACCAAGAAAAACUAGUAAUAACAAUUUUUCUGAUUCUUCGAGUUCUGAAGCAAUAAUUGACAGAAAAAGUUAUGUAUCAAGAGAAAACAGAGAUAAUUUUGAUUCUUCAAAUUCUGAAGCAGUAUUUGAUAGUAACAAAAGUUUAUUAUCGCGAAUAAAUAAAUCACGAAAGGAACAAGUAUCUCUACGGCUCAAAUUGAGACGUUCUACAGAACAAAGCGCAUAUAAAAUAGAUACCGAAUCAGAAGAUGAAAAACCAACCAGACCAAGGAGAUCAACUAGAAAUGUAAAAUAUGUAAAAAGUGUGCAAGAUGAAAAUCAGAUGCCACGUAAAGGUAGAAGGAUUAUAAAGGUACCUAAACGAUACUCAGAGUACGAGUGCUUUUCUCCUAAAUCACAAACGUCUAUUUUACAAAGAGAACACAUUAAUUAUAAUGAAAAGACAUUACUGUUGGCUUCUUUGGAUAUUAAUGAAAGAGAAGAGGAAGCCACUAAACUUAAAGUUAAGAAUGAUAAUUUUAGUAGUGAUUCAGAUGGUAUUAUUAUUGGUUCUAAUCCAAGUACACAUUCUAAAAGAUUAAAAGGUAAUAAACGAAAUGUUUCUUCUGUAGAAGAUAUUAAUGAUAAUGCUACUUCCAAGAUUAUUCGAAGAACUAAAUCUCUUAAACAUAUAUCUGUAGACGAAGAAUUUAAAAAAGACAAUGUACUAGUUAAUAAAAAAACAACAAAUUCUAAAGUGGAUGUAGCACAGCAUGUUCCACUUGAUAGUACGCCUAAAAGAAGACCAAGGAUUGAAAAGAGGCAUAGAAGUAUUUUAAUUACACCUAAUAAAAGUGAAUCAACAACAUACAAAGAUGAAAGUAAGACUAAAGUUAAUGAAGUAGAUGCUAUAUGUGAAGUUACUAAAGACUUAUCAAUAAAAACUAAACAAACAAACAAGAAUGUAAAAAAUACUACAGAAUCGUUAGUAAUACAGAAUGGUUUGAGUACUCCAAAGUCUCAUCGUACAUCAUUGAAACACAGCACUUUGACACCAUCUAUGAAAAUGAGAACUGAAGCCCUAGUGAAACCAGCUACACCAUUACAGGAAGCCAGAAGCAGGCUACAUGUCAGUGCAGUGCCUAAAUCACUGCCUUGUAGAGAAGAAGAAUUUAAUAAUAUCUACACAUUCUUAGAAGGCAAACUAAUAGAUAAAAGUGGAGGAUGUAUCUAUAUAAGUGGAGUCCCAGGCACAGGUAAAACUGCUACUGUAAACGAAGUUAUAAAAUGUCUGAAGAGAUCUGUGGAAAAGGGUAAAUUAAAGGAUUUCGAUUUUGUCAACAUAAACGGUAUGAAAUUAUCUGAGCCCAGACAAGCCUAUGUGCAUAUUCUAAAACAAUUAUCCGGAAAAGUUCUAACAUGGGAGCAGGCGCAUAAUGCGUUAGAAAAGAGAUUUAAUAGCAAUGCUAAAAAGAGGCCAAUGACAUUACUACUAGUAGAUGAGCUUGAUUUAUUAUGUACAAAACGACAAGAUGUAAUAUAUAAUUUAUUGGACUGGCCUACAAAGGCCUCUGCUCAAUUAGUAGUCAUUACUAUUGCCAAUACUAUGGAUCUCCCAGAGAGAGUUUUUAUGAGUAGAGUCACAUCGCGAUUAGGUCUUACCCGAAUAACUUUUCAACCAUAUAAUCAUAAACAAUUACAAGAGAUAGUAUUAACUAGACUUAAAGAUACAAAUAGUUUCAAAAGUGAAGCUAUACAAUUGAUCGCACGGAAAGUAUCCGCGGUAUCGGGUGAUGCUCGUCGCGCUUUGGAAAUUUGUCGUCGAGCAACAGAAAUUACUGAAAGACGAAACGGUGCCACAGUAACCAUGCAAGAUGUGAACGAAACUUUGUCAGAAAUGAUAGCAAAUUCAAAAGUUCAGGCGAUAAGAUAUUGUUCAAGGUUUGAGCAAAUAUUCCUACAAGCUGUACAUGCAGAAGUCACACGAACUGGUGUUGAAGAAGUUUGCUUCACAAACGUUUAUAAGCAGUUUGAAUCUUUAUGUUCUUUUGAUGGUCUUGAAAAGCCUAAUAUCACUCAGACAUUUGAUAUUUGUACAAAAUUAGGUGAUUACAGAUUAUUAAUAUGCGAAUAUUCAGGUAACGACAUAUAUCAAAGGAUUAUGUUAAAUAUAUCAAAGGAUGAUAUACAUUAUGCAUUGCAAAAAAUUGAUUCCGAUUAAAAAUAUGUACAACUGUCAAGAUUUGGAUAAAUGAAUUGUUGAAUAUCAGUGUUGGCAGUACUGAGCUCUAUAAAGCGCAUCAUCACUUGAUCACGAACUUCUGACGGCUGCAACAAGCUACACAUUCCCUAUGGAUCAUCCGAAUAUUAUUGAAACAACCAGGUAUUUCAUGCUGUCUAGGUAGUAUGCGGCUUGCCCAGACUUAAAACA
rnacentral:misc_RNA from 1 species